UACAGAGGGUGCGAGCGUUAAUCGGAAUUACUGGGCGUAAAGCGCGCGUAGACGGUUUUGUAAGUCGGGUGUGAAAUCCCUGGGCUCAACCUGGGAACUGCAUUCGAGACUGCAUUGCUAGAGUAUGGAAGAGGGAAGCGGAAUUUCCGGUGUAGCGGUGAAAUGCGUAGAUAUCGGAAGGAACACCAGUGGCGAAGGCGGCUUCCUGGUCCAAUACUGACGUUCAUGUGCGAAAGCGUGGGGAGCAAACAGG
rnacentral:rRNA from 1 species